rnacentral:rRNA from 1 species
UGGGGAAUAUUGCGCAAUGGACGAAAGUCUGACGCAGCGACGCCGCGUGUGGGAUGACGGUCUUCGGAUUGUAAACCACUGUCGGGAGGGACGAAUACGCCGCAAGGCGGGUGACGGUACCUCCAAAGGAAGCACCGGCUAACUCCGUGCCAGCAGCCGCGGUAAUACGGAGGGUGCGAGCGUUGUCCGGAAUCACUGGGCGUAAAGGGCGCGUAGGCGGCCUGAUAAGUAGGGGGUGAAAUCCUGCGGCUUAACCGCAGGGCUGCCUUCUAAACUGUCAGGCUGGAGCACAGUAGAGGCAGGUGGAAUUCCCGGUGUAGCGGUGGAAUGCGUAGAGAUCGGGAAGAACAUCAGUGGCGAAGGCGGCCUGCUGGGCUGUUGCUGACGCUGAGGCGCGACAGCGUGGGGAGCAAACAG